rnacentral:misc_RNA from 1 species
UCCAUGCCACAUGUUGCUCUAGCUAAAAUGGCUAAAAUAUACGGACCCAUAGUCUACCUCAAAAUGGGCACUUGUGGGAUGGUGGUUGCAUCGACUCCAGACUCAGCUCGAGCCUUUCUCAAAACCCUAGACUUGAAUUUCUCAAACCGCCCACCUAAUGCCGGUGCAACCCACUUAGCCUACGGUGCUCAGGACAUGGUUUUUGCAGAUUAUGG